UACAGAGGUCUCAAGCGUUGUUCGGAUUCAUUGGGCGUAAAGGGUGCGUAGGCGGCGCGGUAAGUCGGGUGUGAAAUCUCGGAGCUUAACUCCGAAACUGCAUUCGAUACUGCCGUGCUUGAGGACUGGAGAGGAGACUGGAAUUUACGGUGUAGCGGUGAAAAUGCGUAGAUAUCGUAAGGAAGACCAGUGGCGAAGGCGGGGUCUCUGGACAGUUCCUGACGCUGAGGCACGAAGGCCAGGGGGAGCAAACGGG
rnacentral:rRNA from 1 species